CCCCCUUCCUCUGCUCCGAGCCUCCAGGUGCAGUUGGGAUGCAGUCCAUCCGCCCUUUGUCCACCGGUGCCGUUGCUCUACUCCGCCCUCUGGCCACCGGCGCCGUUGCUCUGCUCCACUGCCGUCAUUGUUUGCCAGGAACCCGGUUUUAUCCACGUCUUCCCCAGGUCAACAGAGCCGCAUUUAGUUCACUGCUUCUGACUAAGCUUCUCGACGUGGAGGUCAUUGAUGAUUGACUGUUCACUUCCUCUCCCCACGAUCUCCACAAGUAACUGACUUAUUGAUCUCCACAACUAACUAACUUAUUCCCAUUUAAAUUGGGUGCACCACAACCCAUUUCAUUCCCAUCGUCCUCCAUAGCAGUCAUACAGCUACUCCUGCUUUGGACUUCCUCAGGUACUGGAAAAAAUUGGACACCCGGCCUCCAAUCUUGGUUGUUCUUCCCCUGCUUCAUACCCAGACGCCUUGGAUUGAUGGCUCCUUUAGCCACAGGGAUGAUAGCUAAUUCAGCUGUUCAAGCGGAAGCACAUGGUCUAAAGUUGGCAGCAAAUCUUUUGGAAUCUCUACACAUUCAGGAAGCUGCGGUGCUAACAGACAACCUCACUGUGGCAAAAGCUGUUGCAGCAAGAUCGCCAAGGAAGGAACUAGGGAAUUGACAAAUAAGAAGCUAUAUAGCAGACUUUUGUGCAAUGAUAGAGUUCAAGAACAUUCAGGUCUACCAUGUUAACAGAGAUCAAAACAGCAUAGAACAUGAAGCUGCAAGGUUAGCAAUCACACAGGAUCAUGUAGCUUCUCCUAUCCAUAGGUUUAGUUGCACUAAUCCUGUUCAUACUAGAGGGCAUUGUCCCCUGCUUCAGAGAUUAAUGCACACUCAAAUGCAGGGAUUUGUACUUC